rnacentral:tRNA from 1 species
GGCCCCGUAGCUCAGCUUGGAUAGAUGACCAAAAAGAGCAGCUCACUUGAAUGGCUGAACCUUCUAUCCUCUGGGAGUUAGGAGAAGGUCGAGGGUUCAAAUCCCUCCGGGGUCA